UACAGAGGUUGCAAGCGUUGUUCGGAUUUAUUGGGCGUAAAGGGUUCGUAGGCGGACCGGAAAGUCAGAUGUGAAAUCCCACAGCUCAACUGUGGAACUGCAUUUGAAACUUCCGGACUAGAGUGUGAGAGGGGUAAAGGGAAUUCCCGGUGUAAGGGUGAAAUCUGCAGAGAUCGGGAGGAACACCAGUCGCGAAGGCGCUUUACUGGCUCACUACUGACGCUCAGGAACGAAAGCUAGGGUAGCAAACGGG
rnacentral:rRNA from 1 species